UUCAUGAGUAAAAUCAUUCAAUAACAUAUAUACUUUGCUUUUAGAAGAUUCAUAUUUUUGGGAGAUCAUUGGUCUUCUCCUUUACAUUUUAGGCCUUACUUUGGGUUCGAUAUACGCCACUUUCGAGUCAAUUUCUACAAUAUCCGCAUGCUUUUAGGUGAAAUAAUUAAAAUUUGCUUUUCAGUAAGUCUUUUAGUGCACUUUCAUAGGUUUAGCCAUAUCUUUUCUAACUUUUGAAACCUCGGUUGCGUCCUCUUCGUGCAAUGAAAAGCUUCUUGAUCUUUGACCGCUAUAGCUUUGGAUAUGUAUUUAGUGAUUCGAGGGUCGACUGAAUCAUACUUCAAAUUUCUCUUCCAUAGGAUUAUUUUCUUUAACCAUCGCUAUCGUAUCACAGGGCUGCCGCUCUUAGCCCACUAAGGUAGCACCCUCGCAUAACCCCCUUGUCACAUUUUAUACGAGCUUCUCCUGCACAAGUAGGAAUUUUACACAUAAUUGGAAAAUGUAAAUUACUACAUUCAUUUUUUUCAUAUACCCUUGGAAUACUCGAGGUUCCUCGCUUAGCUUCACUGCUAGAGUAUAUCGGACCUGACCAUUUCUAGUGAAAUCUUGAGGACCAGGCGUGGUGGUCCAAGGAUGAUAAGAUUGUAUUUGAUCUAAUUCAUUCCAAAACAGAACAUUUAUCAAACUUUUUCUAUCCACAAGCAUGUGACUAGAGCCAUUGCUCACCAUUAUUGCUGAUAUCAUCAAAGCAUCACAAUGACGAUAGAUGAUUUUAUCCUUAUUAACGACAUACUAAAUUGGAAGGGAUUUAGGUUUUAAAUUACCUUGAAUCCAAUAAUUUUCUUAAGCUAAUAUUGUAACAUCCCGAAAUUUUUUUUAGAAUAAAAAUUUAUUUAUAGAUAUCAUAUUUGAAAAUGAGGGACUAAGAUGAAAUAUAUUUUAAACUAUUAUAUUUUUGGGUCAAAUAAUUGAAUUUUGAUAGAGUGAUGAUAAGUAUAUCAAUAUUAUACUCAUUGGAUAGCUCUUAUUUAAUUAUGUAUUUUAGGCUCGAGAAAAAAUUAAUUAAGAUAAGUUAGGCAUAAGAUAUUAUAGUUUAAGAAUGUAAGUUUGUUAAUUUAUGCAGCCACGUGUUUUAUGAGUUUAACAAUAAUCUUAAUUGGAUUAUGAUAUAGUUUAAUAUUAAUCCUAAGUUCAUUAUUUUAAACUAGUACUUAUCCAAAUUAUUUGUGGAGCGUGGCUUUUCCAUUUUAGUAGCAUCAAAACACUAUUUACGGUUAAUCAAUGGAAUUAAGAUAAUUAGUAAAAGAUUUAUAAUAUUUUAUAAUCACGUUUAUCUUUAUUUUGAUAAAGGUUGAAUUGUAUCCACUUUUUAUUUUCUAUUUUGAAAUCCAUCUGCCCGUAAAUAAUGUGAUUUUAUUUCUUUUGACCUUGGAAUUUAUAGGAUGGCUGCACAUACACUUUUGGAUAAAGAUAGCUUCUUCUUUUUUUUUUUUUUGAUUGAAUAAGAUAAUAUUAUAGUACAAUUUGGGUAGACUUUUGGUUGCAUGGCACAUGAAUUGGCUCUAUCAAAUAAAUAUUUUAUUUUUAUCCAUUUCCAUAGUCUCCACCUAUUUAUAUAGGCAUGAUGUAAGAGUUUUGCAUACAAAAAUAAUAAUUCAUCACACUCAUACGAGAGAGAGAGAGAGAGAGAGAGAGAGAGAGAGUUGUUGAAAUCAGAAAUUUGCACACAGUCAAUAGUCUUAAUUUCACCAAACCAGAAAAAGGAAAGAGUUUUGAACGUGAAUUCUGAUUUUAUCUUUCAAUAGCGUAUUAAGAUACUUUAUGUGCAAGUGCUUUCAUUUUUUUAUAUUUUUAUAUUCAAUUAAAUAUGCAUGGAUUACCAGUAAGCAUCCUUUUUUUUUUUUAACAAGAUAUGAAAUCCUACGGGAUUAUAAGAGGACCUAAGAUGGGUGUGUCGCUUGAUUAUCGAUAUACUCCAUAAGAUUAGAGUGGUAUGAAAUGUAUAAUUUUUAUUAUUAUAUAUUUGAAUAUGGAAACAAUGCGUAUUUUACUGGGUAUUUUCGAAUACUCUUACAAAUUUUUACAAGUUAGUUCGGGUCGAUUGGACUGUGGUGAAUUGGUGAUGCGGACUAUCAAGUAAAUCGAAUAAAGGAAAAAGGAAAUAAACAGUAGUCCGCUGUUAUGUUUUUAAUUUUAAUUGUUAGCUUAAAUUGCUCAAAAGACCCACUUGUUUUAUUAGUCAUCUGAUUAUGCUUAAAUCUUAGAAACUCAGAUCUCGUGUUUUAAUUAUGUGUGGUUGAAAAUAAAGAAUUUAUUUUACUUUAUUUGUGUCGUUCCACAAUUUACAAAAAGGAAAAAUAAAUUUUUCAUAAUACCCUAGUGUUUAUGAAAAUUUGGAGCGUUACAAAUAUACUACCAUCUUUUGCUUACCUUUUUAUAUUUUUUAUAUUUUUGUGAUUUGACUAUCUUCUUUCCAAUGCAAGAUUGGUUAAUGACAACGUUGAUUUCUUCUUUGAACUUUUUCUAUUACCUCUUUGGAUCAAGAUCACUAUCUUCAUGAUAAUCGCUAAGGAUUUCAGUUUCAUAUUUCAAUGCUUCUAUUUUUGGACAAUUAUUUUCAGUAG
rnacentral:lncRNA from 1 species